GUUACCAGCGUGAAAGACGGGGACGUCACAGGAGACUGCCGCCGACAAGGCGGAGGAAGCGGGGAUGACGUCAAGUCAUCAUGCCCCUUAUGUCCUGGGCUACACACGUACUACAAUGGGUGCGAACAGAGGGCAGCAAUCCCGCGAGGGGGAGCCAAUCCCACAAAAGCACUCUCAGUUCGGAUCGCAGGCUGCAACCCGCCUGCGUGAAGUCGGAAUCGCUAGUAAUCGCAGAUCAGCAGGCUGCGGUGAAUACGUUCCCGGGCCUU
rnacentral:rRNA from 1 species